GCCGGAAUUGCUAGUAAUGGCAGGUCAGCAUACUGCCGUGAAUACGUUCCCGGGCCUUGUACACACCGCCCGUCACACCAUGAGAGUUGGGGAUACCCGAAGCCUGUGAGCUAACAGUAAUGGAGCAGCAGUCGAAGGUAGAAUCAAUGAUUGGGGUGAAGUCGUAACAAGGUACC
rnacentral:rRNA from 1 species